AGAAAAAAAAAAAAAAAAAAAAAAAAAAAAAAAAAAAAAAAAAAAA
rnacentral:ribozyme from 13 species